rnacentral:misc_RNA from 1 species
UUUCCGUAGGUGAACCUGCGGAAGGAUCAUUAUUGAAACUUGUAUCGUAGCAUUGAGAACUGUUGCUUACCUGUUAAAGGGUUUGUGCACGUUCGACGUGUUGCGUUCUAUUCAUCCACCUGUGCACCUUUGUAGACUUGAUUAACUUUCGCUCCCGAGCGGUUAGAAGGGUUGCUUUCGUGCUCCCUUUGUCUAUCAAGUCUAUGUCUAUAUAAUCUCUUGUAUGUCUAGAAUGUCCUAUUUAUGGUUCGCAAGUCCUUUAAAUCAUAUACAACUUUCAACAACGGAUCUCUUGGCUCUC